CCUACGGGUGGCAGCAGUGAGGAAUAUUGGUCAAUGGGCGGGAGCCUGAACCAGUCAAGUCGCGUGAGGGAAGACGGUCCUAUGGAUUGUAAACCUCUUUAUGCGGGGAGCAAUUCCGGGCACGUGUGCCCGGAGGGAGAGUACCCGCAGAAUAAGCAUCGGCUAACUCCGUGCCAGCCGCCGCGGUAGUACGGAGGAUGGGAGCGUUCUCCGGAUUUAUUGGGUUAAAAGGGUGCGUAGGCGGAUUUUUAAGUCAGCGGUAAAAUGUCCGGGCUCAACCCGGGCCGGCCGUUGAAACUGGGGAUCUUGAGUGGGCGAGAGGUAUGCGGAAUGCGAGGUGUAGCGGUGAAAUGCAUAGAUAUAAGGCAGAACUCCGAUUGCGAAGGCAGCAUACCGGCGCCCGACUGACGCUGAGGCACGAAAGCGUGGGGAUCGAACAGGAUUAGAUACCCUUGUAGUC
rnacentral:rRNA from 1 species